rnacentral:tRNA from 1 species
GGGGAUGUAGUCUCAGCCGGUUAGCGCGCUUCGCUCACAUCGAAGAGGUCGGGGGUUCGAGUCCCUCCAUCCCCACCA